rnacentral:rRNA from 1 species
GUGCAGAAUGUGAACUGCAGGACACAUGAACACCGACAAGUUGAACGCAUAUUGCACAUCGUACAACAGUGCGAUGUACACAUUUUUGAGUGCCCAUAUUCACCCAUUCAACUAUACACGCCCACGCACGAUGCGUAGUGGACGUUUGCCCGGCUAGUGACUGGUAAAACGUUCAAGACCUGUGUGCGUGGUGGGUGCCGACCGGCGGGCUUGCUUUCUCGAGUGUCUCUUCUAGCACCACCGCAGGAUGUCCAGGCAGAGCAACCCAGUCACAGGCCCCGAGGCGGCCGCGGAUUGAUCGCGGACGAACGCCCCGUAGAACCCUUCUGGCGGGCUGUUGACGGUGUGACAGUACAUAAGCCAACGAGCAACAGGGACGGAUCGCGGAGAAGCAGCGAUCGGCAAGCAGUAAGAAACACCGUAGGCCUCAAAUAAUGUGUGACUACCCCCUAAAUUUAAGCAUAUCGACAC